ensembl:lncRNA
AUGUCACCCCCAUCCCGGUGUCCCCCGAUCCCGGUGUUCCCCAGAUUCCGUUCUCCCCCCGAUCCCGGUGUCCUCCCCAUCCCCGUGUUCCCCUAUCCCGUUGUCCCCCGAUCCCGGUGUCCUCCCCAUCCCCGUGUUCCCCUAUCCCGUUGUCCCCCGAUCCCGGUGUCUCCCCGAUCCCAGCGUCACCCGGAUCCUGGUGUCCCCCCGAUCCCGGUGUCCCCCCGAUUCCGUUCUCCGCCCGAUCCCGGUGUCCUCCCCAUCCUGGUGUCCCCCCGAUCCCGGUGUCCCCCCGAUUCCGUUCUCCGCCCGAUCCCGGUGUCCUCCCCAUCCCGGUGUCUCCCCGAUCCCGUUGUCCUCCCCAUCCCGGUGUCUCCCCGAUCCCGGUGUCCCCCCAAUCCCGUUCUCCCCCAGAUCCCACAGCGAUCCCACACCGGGGUCUCACCGGAGCAGGACCGGGGGUCCCGUGCGGGCUCGGGGGGGCUGUCGGGGGCCGGUUCCCGUUCCAGCGCGGGGCACGGCAGCCCGCGGGUGAGGCGGGACAGGUUGGAGGUGAUGUGGAACGGGACGGUGACCGAGAAGGGGCCCGAGAUGUGGAGCCCCGCGCAUUUCUCGGCGCGGGAGCGGCCGGAGAGCCCCGGCCCGGCCCGGGGGGCUUUGGGGGUGGUGGGCUCCGAUUUGGUGCUGCUCUCGGCCGCCGCUUCCAGCGGCUCCUCCAGGCUCUCAUCCAGCUCCGGGUGGGAUUCCGGGAGCGCCGGGGCGGCGUCCGAGCUCUGCUGCCGCUGCGGCCGCAGCUUCACCGACAGCUUCGGGAGCAGCCCGGCGGUGUCCGCGCCUGGAAGGGGCGAGUCCGGAGCGGGCACGGGGUGCGGGGGAACCCCGGGGUGCCGGGGAGGGUCCCAGGGUGCCGGGGGGUCCCGAGGUGCCGGGGGGGAUCCCGAGGUGCCGGGGGGGAUCCCGGGGUGCCGGGGAGGGGUCCCGGAGUACAGGGGGAUCCCGGGGUGCAGGGGGGAUCCCGGGGUGCCGGGGGGGAUCCCGGGGUACGAGGGGAUCCUGGGGUGCCGGGGAGGGUCCCAGGGUGCGGGGGGAUCCUGGGGUGCCGGGGAGGGUCCCGGGGUGCGGGGGGAUCCCGGGGUUCUGGGGGGAUCCCGGGGUGCCGGGGAGGGAUCCCGGGAUAUGGGAGGGAUCCCGGGUGCGGGGGGGAUCCCGGGGUGCCAAGGGGAGUCCCGGGGUGCGGGGGGGAUCCCGGGGUGCCGGGGAGGGUCCCAGGGUGCGAGAGGGUCCCGGGGUGCGGGGGGGAUCCCGGGGUGCUGGGGGGGGGUCCCGGGGUGCCAGGGGGAUCCCGGGGUGCCGGGGGGGGUCCCGGGGUGCGAGAGGGUCCCGGGGUGCGGGGGGGAUCCCGGGGUGCCGGGGGGGGUCCCGGGGUGCGAGAGGGUCCCGGGGUGCGGGGGGGAUCCCGGGGUGCCGGGGCAGGUACCGGGAUAUGGGAGGGAUCCCGGGGUGCUGGGGGGGAUCCCGGGGUUCUGCGGGGAUCUCGGGGUGCUGGGAGGGUCCCGGGGUGCCGGGGGGGACCCCGGGGUGCCGGGUGGGUACCGGGAUAUGGGAGGGAUCCCGGGGUGCGGGGGGAUUCUGGGGUGCCGGGGAGGGUCCCAGGGUGCGGGGGGACCCCGGGGUGCCGGGGGGGGGUCCCGGAGCUCCGGGGAGGGUUCCAGGGUGCGGGGGGGAUCCCGGGGUGCCGGGGGGGGUCCCGGGGUGCUGGGAGGGUCCCUGGGUGCGGGGGAGUCCCGGGAUGCCGGGGGGGGUACCGGGAUAUGGGAGGGAUCCCGGGGUGCUGGGGGGGAUCCCGGGGUUCUGCGGGGAUCCCGGGGUGCUGGGGGCGUCCCGGGGUGCUGGGGGUGGGUCCCAGGGCGCGGGGGGAUCCCGGGGUGCCGAGGGGGGUUGCGAGAGGGUCCCGGGGUGCGGGGGGAUCCCGGGGUGCGGGAGAAUCCCGGGGUGCCGGGGGGGGUUGCGGGGUGCGAGAGGGUCCCGGGGUGCGGGGGGAUCCCGGGGUGCGGGGAUGAUCCCGGGGUGCUGGGGGGGGAUCCCAGGGUGCUGGGAGGGUCCCUGGGUGCCGGGGGGGGGUACCGGGAUAUGGGAGGGAUCCCGGGGCGUGGGGGGAUCCUGGGGUGCUGGGAGGGUACUGGGAUAUGGGAGGGAUCCCGGGGUGCGGAGGGAUCCUGGGGUGCUGGGGGGGGGUCCCGGGGUGCGGGGGGAUCCCGGGGGGGGGGUCCCGGGGUGCAGGAGGGUCCCGGGGUGCCGGCAGGAUCCCAGGAUCUGGGGAGCGAAUCCCGGGCUCCAGAGGGGAUUUCAGGGUCCAGGGGAAGGUUUUGGGUCAGGAGGGGGUCCCGGAAUCCCGAAGGAAGGGUCAGGGUCCAGAGGGGAUCCCAGAAUCCCAUCCCAUUGAUCCCAGAAUCCCAUCCCAUCCCCGCUCCACUUCCCCCAUUCCUGCCCUGGCCCAAGGAUCCCUCCUUGGGAUCAGGGACAAUCCCAAAGGGUUGGAGGGACAAUUCCCGAGGGAUUGGAGGGACAAUCCCAAAGGGUCAGAGGGACAAUCCCAAAGGGUCAGAGGAGCAAUUCCCAAGGGAUCCGUGGGACAAUCCCAAGGGAUCAGAGGGAUAA